AAUCAGUGUGUGUGUUAGUGGAAGCGUCUGGAAAGGCGCGCGAUACAGGGUGACAGCCCCGUACACAAAAAUGCACAUGCUGUGAGCUCGAUGAGUAGGGCGGGACACGUGGUAUCCUGUCUGAAUAUGGGGGGACCAUCCUCCAAGGCUAAAUACUCCUGACUGACCGAUAGUGAACCAGUACCGUGAGGGAAAGGCGAAAAGAACCCCGGCGAGGGGAGUGAAAAAGAACCUGAAACCGUGUACGUACAAGCAGUGGGAGCACGCUUCGGCGUGUGACUGCGUACCUUUUGUAUAAUGGGUCAGCGACUUAUAUUCUGUAGCAAGGUUAACCGAAUAGGGGAGCCGAAGGGAAACCGAGUCUUAACUGGGCGUUAAGUUGCAGGGUAUAGACCCGAAACCCGGUGAUCUAGCCAUGGGCAGGUUGAAGGUUGGGUAACACUAACUGGAGGACCGAACCGACUAAUGUUGAAAAAUUAGCGGAUGACUUGUGGCUGGGGGUGAAAGGCCAAUCAAACCGGGAGAUAGCUGGUUCUCCCCGAAAGCUAUUUAGGUAGCGCCUCGUGAAUUCAUCUCCGGGGGUAGAGCACUGUUUCGGCAAGGGGGUCAUCCCGACUUACCAACCCGAUGCAAACUGCGAAUACCGGAGAAUGUUAUCACGGGAGACACACGGCGGGUGCUAACGUCCGUCGUGAAGAGGGAAACAACCCAGACCGCCAGCUAAGGUCCCAAAGUCAUGGUUAAGUGGGAAACGAUGUGGGAAGGCCCAGACAGCCAGGAUGUUGGCUUAGAAGCAGCCAUCAUUUAAAGAAAGCGUAAUAGCUCACUGGUCGAGUCGGCCUGCGCGGAAGAUGUAACGGGGCUAAACCAUGCAC
rnacentral:rRNA from 1 species